rnacentral:tRNA from 1 species
UGGACCGUAGCUCAGGGGGAGAGCACUUGCUUGACACGCAAGGGGUCGGGAGUUCAAAUCUCCCCGGUCCAACCA